rnacentral:rRNA from 1 species
GGCUUAUUGAUUUUUAUUUUAGGUCUGGCCUGCCCAAUGAUGGUUUUAAUGGCCGCGGUAUAUUGACCGUGCAAAGGUAGCAUAAUCAUUAGUUUUUUAAUUGAAAGCUAGAAUGAAAGGUUCGAUGAGAAAAGAUCUGUCUCUUUAAAAAUUUAUUAGAAUUUUAUUUUUGAGUAAAAAAGCUUAAAUUUAAGUGGAAGACGAGAAGACCCUUUAGAGUUUAAUAUUUAUAAGGAAUUGAAUUGACUAGGUUUAAUAAUUUUUUUAAUUUGUUUAAGUAUUUUGCUGGGGUGAUAGAAAAAUUGGUUUAACUUUUUUUUAAUUGAAUCAUUGAUUUAUGAGUAAAUGAUCCUUUAAUUAAGAUUAUAAGAAUAAAUUACCUAAGGGAUAACAGCGUAAUUUUUUAUAGAGUUCUAAUCGAAUAAAAAGAUUGCGACCUCGAUGUUGGAUUAAAAUAAAUAAUUGGUGCAGAAGUUGAUUAAUUAGGUCUGUUCGACCUUUAAAAUUUUACAUGAUCUGAGUUUAAACCGGCGUGAG